AAUUUUUGAAAAAUUAGAAAAAAAGUAGUUUUGAUAACCAAAAUUGUAAAGAAAGUAAUCAAAAGUUACGAAAAACUCCAAUCGAUAAAAUACCAAUAAAUUUUGCAUAAUAAUGCAAAGAAUUAGCUCAGGUAAGUAUUUUUAUAAAAAAUUGGUCAGUUUAAAAAAAAAUUUAUAUAUAGAUCAAAUUAUAUCUACCAAAUUUUUGAAAAUUUGAAUUUGAUCCUUAAAAAAUAAAGAAACUCUAAUUUGAUCAAACUGAAGGAAGAGAACUGCAUUCGGUUCAUCAUGCCCUAAUUUCAAAAUAUCGCAUUAAAAUAGUAAGUUACAAACGUUUUGAAAAUUUCGGUGAAUUUUUAAAAUUCUAAUUUUUGAAAACGACGAUUGCAAAAAUCAGUAAAAUAUUGAAAGUUGAGCCUUUUGCCUCAAUGAAACCAAAGUACAGGUACAUCUCUCCUCAACUUCGAAACUGCCAUCACAUUUUCGAACUCGAAUUGCAAACUCUUUUCAAGUGUUCCCAAAGUAGCAUAAUUUCACUCCUUGUCUUGGCGCCAAUUAAAAUGAGAAAAUAUGAAAACAAAAGUGCAGUUGUUCUUUCAAAUCUCUAUAAACACUUUUUUUAAAAAUAUCAUUUAAGGGCACUCGUGAGACUAAAAUUAGAAAUACAUCUUCAACAUGUAAAGACAGUAUUUACUUUUUAUCCGCACCUAUGUGCUACAUGUCUUACAUGGUCUAACUUCACCCUAACGACCUAGUUAGACCUAUACCUAGUGCUAUGCACAGAUAGGCACUGGCGAUUUACCGCCUCGUAUACCUACUCUUCGGAGAUAAAUAUGAGAUGAGAAAUUAUACACAUAGAAUAAUAUGAAUAAAAUGAAUACUCGGACGACUAUAACGUUACAUUAGCUUUAUUGGUUAUUAAGCAUUAUAUGUACAUAGUCUGAUUAUAUUACGUAAAUAGAAUUACGAUUUGAUUUAAAGGAAGCGAGUACAUGUAGUCGCAAAUGUGUGUUAAAAACACCACCCAGGGACAAGGGCAUUCAUGCCGGAUAGGGCAGGUCCAGUAUGAAUGACUCUAAGAAGAGAAUUUAGAGAUGCUGCAGUUCAUCUCUUGAGUAACCACGAUCCGAUCCGAUAGUCCAUUACGUAAAAGAUAUUCCAUAUCCCAGUAAUUAUAAGGUGGAAAGUACGUGCUCCAUACGUCGAACGUACUGAUAGGGCUCCGCACCUUGACCUAUCUAUCGAAUGGAAACUAAGCUCUCGCUUAGUGAGUCCGUGAUUGACUGAAGUUGUGAUCGGAUAACGUGAAACACUUCACUAACGCGAACUAAACCGCUAGAUAGCGUGGUUACGUAAGAGAAUUGAGCGAAAGGUAGAAGGAGAACAAUUUUCCCUCACCUAAGCGACGGAAAAUGGCGCAAUUCCUCCCUUUACAUUGCCCCGAGUGAUUACUUAUAGGAAUAUGUAACCACUCUAACAACUAAAAAGGGAGAAUGACCCAUGUGCCCUAUCCUUGCCCCGGGUGUUUACAUGUAGCUAUUGAAAUAAAUAAGAUAAACAAAAUAAUAAAAUAAACAUCUUCUUAUCUACAAGUGAUACAGUAAAAAGCAGUAAUAAUAAAAAAUGUAGAAGAAUAAGAGAAAAAAAAAAAAAAUGUAUCCAACUUCUGGAAAAAUUAAAAAUUAUAAACGUAAAAUAAAGUGAAAUAAUAUCUAAACAGUAUAUCUGUAUAAAAUAAAGAAAAGUCACGUUACAUCUUGUGAAUCAAAGUACCGAACGAAAAUCGAAAGUGCUUAAUGGACAUACAUUAGUGAUGAAAACUAUUGACUAUUACAGUAUGUAUAAAUUUUGUACGUAAUUACGUUACUCUAUUCUAUGACUAAUAUGAAUUUAUUUAUUGUUUCAGGUUCCAUGUGAUGAGUUGUAGUUCGAGUUCAUGUUGCAAUGUCUGUUUCAUUCCGGGAAGUAUGAAUUACGUAAGAUUGAUAAGGUUUUAGAUUUUCGAUACUUUGUAACGUGAUUUCGUAUCUACAGAUGUUUACUCAGCAAGAAGAGGCAGUAAACCCAAAACAGCCUCCAGAAUGAUGCGGUGAUCAAGAAAAGGACAUUUAUCGACUAUCUUUUCCGGUAACGUUCGGUCUAGUAUGCUUUCAAGCUGUUUUAUAUAGUUUGUAUUAUGUGUGUCUUUCUUCGAAAUGCUGAUAGCUUCUAGCCAAUUUCUAAAUUUCUUCGUCUUAUCACUAUGUACCGUGUGUUUUAUAGGUGGUAUGACAUAGAUUUUCUUUACGCCCGAAGUACUCAACGUCUUGAUCAGCGCAUUAAAAUCGUCUCUCAAUUUUUCUUCGUUGGCGUUUUCAUGAAGAUCUUUAUGACCUAUCGAUAUCAGCACCUUUUUAGUAUAAGCUUGAUCACCGGCUAUCGCAAAAUGGACCAUUUGAUGUACCAGGCCAUCGCCCAGCAUCCAGUACUGUUGCAAAAAGAAGAUAGUCUCCGUUCCUUUAUUUCGUAACGUAAGUGUAGCUCCGGUUGUGUAUAGGUUAUAUCGGAACUUCCUACACGUCGAACCGAAUUCAUCAGGUAUGGAUGUUUUUAGUGUCAUCCUUCUGAUUUCCUCUUGGAAAAUCUUUCUGGUUACCGGUAAAUGAACUACUUGUUCUUUUUUGUCGUAGGUCGAGAUUGUUAGUCGAUUUCGGUAAUUUUUUACGUCACGAAUCGCUCCAAAAUGUCCUGGCUUGAGAGGGCUACGAGUUUGGUUGUUAUCUAUAAUGGAUUCGAACUUAUUCUGUUCGUAUUUCGUUCUAUAUCGAUUGAUAGCAUUACGUCGGUGAGUAUUACGUAAAGGUGUUCUUGGUACAUAUCGGGAACCUGAUGGCUUAAGUAUUACUUUUAGAUUUUUUGUAUUAAUCGGUUUUCUUUCAGGAGACUUGCGGCGUAUUUGAAUCAUAGUUUUGCUGCUUUUGGUUGGCGAUGAUAGUUUUUUCGGUGGUGAUUUCUUCGGUGAAGAUUUAGCAGGUAAUUUUGCUGUUUUCGUAAUAGUUGAUUUAACCAGCGGAAUUUUGAAUUCACCUGUUUUUUCUGUUUUUUGGUGUUCGUGUUUCCAAUUUGUAUCCUCGUCUGAUGUGUCUUCGUAUUUCGGUUCAAAUUGCGAUUCAUCGAUUUCUUUUUCGUUAGAUGUUGAUUCUGCCGGGUUUUGUUCUUCAUCGCUUAAAGGUUGUAUAAAUUCAUCGAUCGGAUUAUCAUACUUGUGUUCCGGUGUUACGUUAUCGAUUAGUUCACAUUUUUUCAGGUAUAUGAUUUUUUCUACUGAUGCUUUUACUCGAUCAUUUAGAUGUUUUACGUCAGAGUUUAAUUUAGCGACUUCGUUCAUAUAAUCGUUAUUUUCUAUUUUCAGCUCUUGGUUCUCUUUGCGUAACUUCCAUAGUUGUUCUACUAAAGUCGCCGGUGACGUUGAAUCAUCUUUUACGGUCGUAAUUUGGAUGUUAUUUGCUUGUAUCUCGACGUCAGAUGCAAGAAUCAGCGAUGUAUUGCAGUUAGAGAAUACGCAUUUUUCAGUCCCAGGUGCGUAAGCCGUAUACAGAUUGGUUAGACAUUUUUCAUGAUAGAUAUGUCUACACGAAGUUAGCUUUAAUUUCGUAUUUGUCCGGUCUUGGUCUGGGCCUUGCCCAAGUGAUUUGUUGCAGCUUGAACAAGUGAUAAUGUUUACUCGUAUUGCGCCCAUUUUCUUCCUAGUUGGUUCAGAAUAUUGCUUUUCUUCCAUGGAUUUGCGUUACGAAAAUGAAAUCUGGAGCCCAGGGUUGAACGGAACUGAAUACGCUUGGAAAUAGUUGAAUUCGGAUUACGUAAGAUGAAGCUUUUUCUUUGGCCAAGCACGACGAUUUGCUACACGUGUCUGAGAGUCUGUUGGACGUUUUAUAUUGUAAUCCAAUGUACUUUAUACAUAUUUUAUUGAUGUAUUGUUUUGUACUUACGUGUAACUGUUGUCUUGGUGGAUUAUUUUCGAUGUGUUAUUUGUAAUAACUUCUUGGUAGCAUUAAACUUUUGAACUUUACUAAACUGUUGUACCUUUACGAAAUGAAAUACCAUUUGUUAUCUCAAUGUCUCACUGUAACUUCUUUAACUGUGGUUUUAUUUUUCACGUUAUUUCAUGUUUGAUUUUUUUAUUUUGUUCGAACACUUUGUACGAUUUUGCUGUGUGUUGUUAGAGUUGUGCUAACGAAUGAGAUUGCUCUUUAAAUAAAUGAAAUUUGCUCUCA